UGGUGCCAGCAGCCGCAGUAAUUUCAGCUCUAAUAGCGUAUAUUAAAGUUGUUGCAGUUAAAAAGCUCAUAGUUGAAUUUUGGGGUUAGUAAGUUGGUCGUGCCUUCGGUAUGUACUGGCUUUACUGAUUUCUCCUUCUUGACGAACCAUGAUGUCAUUAAUUUGGUGUUGCGGGAAAUCAGAACUGUUAAUUUGAAAAAAUUAGAGUGUUUAAAGCAGGCCAACGCUUGAAUACAUUAGCAUAGAAUAAUGAAAUAGGACGUUAAUCCUAUUUUGUUGGUUUCUAGGAUUGACAUAAUGAUUAAUAGGGAUAGUUGGGGCAUUAGUAUUCAAUUGUCAGAUGUGAAAUUCUUGGAUUUAUUGAAGACUAACUACUGCGAAAGCAUUUACCAAGGAUGUUUUCAUUAAUCAAGAACGAAAGUUAGGGGAUCAAAGAUGAUCAGAUACCAUCGUAGUCUUAACCAUAAACUAUGCCGACUAGAGAUCAGAUGAUGUUAAUUUUUUUAAUGACUCAUUCGGCGCC
rnacentral:rRNA from 1 species